rnacentral:circRNA from 1 species
AUGCCCCCCCCCUCCAGAAGCUACUACCAUAGCGCAGCAACUGAAGAGUUGGCAGGAAAGGAUCAAAGAUCCUAAAGUCACAAUCUGUUGUUUGCCCGGUUUGCAGCUCCGGGGGUUCGGUCACUUGUCUCGUCGGGUUUUCACCCCAGGAUUUGUUGUCCUGAGCGUGGAGCGGCCGUUAUACAGGAAACAAAGCCUGUACCGGUUUCUCACCCCAAGUCCACAAGUGGCCCACCUCACGGCCCUGGAGGCUCCCUUACGGGAGCACAGGUUUCACCGCUGCCAGCACAGUCUAUUUAUAAUUAAUCGCCACUGUGCACUGCGAUGGGACCAGGACAGGGUUCCCCAACCCUGUUUUUUCACAAUUCUUCCUUGGCAGGAAAGAACGGCGUCCUA